rnacentral:sRNA from 1 species
AAUGGAUUGGAACUUGUACCAUAGAUUAUAUACCCCUGGACAUCUUUAUACUCCCUGGCAAUCUCUCUCUUCCAGUACCAAUCCAUGGGAAUUCUAUCUUGCCCAGGGUGAAAAGGGCUAUCCAAUUAAUUCCCCUUCUUAUGGGCCUCAGCAUUAUACCUGGUAUGGGAACCUAAACUGCCGGAGUCUCAAAAGCCUCCUUGACCUACAGCCAACUCUGAAAGGAAAUAGCCAGCAAUUUUAAUAUCAUGGCUAAAACCUUAACCAUGGCCAGAGCAAAUUAACACUUUAGCAGUUGUAGUCCUCCAAAAUUGUCAAGGACUAGAUAUGUUAACGGCAGUACAGGGAGGAAUUUGUUUAGCUUCAGAUGAAAAAUGUUGCUUUUGGGUAAAUCAAUCAGUAAAAGUACAAAACAACAUCAGAUAACUCCUAAAUCGAGCCUCCAGCUUACAAGAACAAGCCUCUCAUGGUUAGUUAGAUUGGUAAGGAAACUGGAAAUGGGAUCUUCCCUGUGUUCUUCCCUUUUUAGGCCCACAUGUUAGCCUCUACUCUUGCUCCUUUCAGUCCAUGUCUUCAAAAAUCUAAUAACCCAAUUUGUCUCCUUUCUCUCACCUUUAGAUGAUCAAGUUCCAGAUGAUCGUCAGUGAGGGAUACCAUCCUUUCAAUAUUCAAGAGUCACCCUUCUACAGAGGACUCCUAGACUUCCCAUCAGUGGGACAUGGCAGAGGUGAAAUCCUGCCCCUGUCUCCCUUAGACCUGGCUGGAUACUGCUUCCACCAACCAGUGCAGCCACCCUGCCCUGUCAGCUAGCAAGAGGCCAAGACCCACGGAACAAUCACCACCACACCUCUGUCAGCAGGAAGCAGUUACAGAAGACUGAACUUCAUCCAGUUUCCCAAAGAAUUGGGUCGUGGAUUCUUGUGGGGGAAAAUGUUAGAGUAGGUAAUUAGGCAGACAUGAGCAAGGGAGGAGAGACCCCCUCCAACUAGGAAUGUCAGGUGAGCAUCAGAUGAUCGUCAGGUGGUUGUUAAACUCUCUCUCUAAAAUAAUAAUAGGUUGCAACUGGCAGCAGGGAAAGACAAUCUCCCAAUAGAUAGAAAACUCCUGAAGCUGGUGAUCAGCAGCUUCCUAGUAAGAUCUCAGGAUCUGAGCAAGCAGGCUCAAACAUGUGCACUAAGAGGCAAAGUGGUGGAGUUUAACUGGUAUACAGACUUCCUCUAGAAACACAUAACUCACUCAGAUGUGGACAGCCUGCCCCAGGGAAAAAUCAAAAGAGGAGAGAUGCAAAACCCCAGAAGCAUGCCAAUAUAUAAAGCCCCAAGUCUAAGGUCAAACAGGGCACUUGGAUUUCUCAAGUUGCCCACUUGGCCCUCUUCUAAGUGUACUUUACUUCCUUUCAUUCCUGCUUUAAAACUUCUUAAAUUUCACUGCUGCUCAAAAACUUGCCUCAGUCUUUCACUCUGCCUUAUGCCCCUUGGCAGAAUUAUUUCCUUCAAGAAGGCAAAAAUCAAGCUGCUGCAGACCCAUACAGAUUUGCUGCUGCUAACAGGAGGAUAGCUUGAGCCCGGAAGGUUAAGGCUGCAGUGAGCCUUGAUUAUGCCACUGCUCUCCAGCCUGGCAACAGAAUGAGACUCUAUUCUUUUUUCUUUUAAAAAGACUUUUUACAAAAGGCAAAAUGAUAAUGGAACUAAAAAUGUACAUUGACUGACUUAACUCCAACUGCUUCUUCCUUCAAUUGAAACCACCUCUGCAAAAAUUAUAACAGUGAGAAAAUUAUGGCAGUAGGGGUGAUCCGAUCAAGCCAAACCCCAUCUUGCCUUUAGCCUUCAAGCUGCCCAUAAUUAUUCCUGGGCUUAGGCCAAGCUAACUUUGGGAGACACUUGGUCUAUAGUUUAAAUGAUAAUAGUCUUUCCCUAAAAUUCAACCACCUCAGCAAAGCUGAUGAGAGGCCACCAGGCAAGGAAGAUAGAGGAGUCUAAAUUCUGCUAAGGUGUAGAUAUAAACAGUUUCCAGCCAUUAUUCUGGAGGUCACAAAAUAUGCAACUUCUUCAAUUACUCCUGCAGAUAACAUCAGUAUUUUAGAACCUAAGAUUGGCCUUUUGAGAUGUCUUUUCAGGUUUUUUGUGUGUCUGACUGCCGAUGGCUCCACCUGGACCCACCAACCACUCCUGUGGCCCCAUCCAGAAGCAACUCAGCAUGCAUAAGGACUAUUUCCCACACCCCUAUGAUUGCACCCCCAACCAAUUAGCAGCAAGCACUUACUGCCUAAACAGCCCCAUUCCUCCCCCAAACCAUCCAUGAAAAACCCUAGCUUUCAAAUUUCCAGGGAAGCUGAUUUGAGCAGUAAU